UGAGAUCGCCCCACUGCACUCCAGCCUGGAAGAGUAAAACUCCAUCUCAAAAACCAACCAACCAACCAACCCCAAAGUCCUCAUGUGAUAUAAGAGGCCCUACAAGAUCUAGCAUCCUGCCACCUCUCUGACCUCAUCUGUGUCACCCUGGUCCAGCUACCCAGGCCUUCUUGUUGGUCUGCUAACAUGGUCCUGCCUCAGUACUUUCGAACUUGCUCAGAAGGCUUUUCUCCCAGAUACAUGUAUGAUUUGUUUCCUUAUCUCAUUCAGGUCUGUGUUCACAUAUCACUCCUUGAGGGAAGGCUUCAAAUGAUCUCAUCUAAAACUGACCCCCAUCCACACUGCCGCUUUCAUCCCCUUAGGGUGGUUUUUUCCCCUUAACACAAAUCACCAUCUAAGUUUAUCACACAUUGUUGGUUGCUUAUUGGGUUUCCCCCAACAGAAUGUAAGCUCCGUGAAGGCAAAUCUUUGUUUUCUUAUUGCUGCAUCCCUGGCAUCCAGGAGGUGCUCAGUAAAUGAAUGAAGUGAAACUAAAGAAGAUAAGAGUUCCAUGACAGGAAACAGCUUGUGGUAGAAACCCUGCACCUGUUGGUUUAGGGGAUGUUGACCGUCAGAACCAGAGAUAACCUUAAGAAUAGAAGAGAUCUUGCCAGGCGCUGUGGCUCCACCUGUAAUCCCUGCACUUUGGCAGGCCAAGUAUUACAACAGACAAAGAAACAGAAGAUCAGAAAGGUGAAGUGACUUGCCCAAGAUUAUUCAGGUAAAUAGCAGAGCUAAAUAGCUAAAUCAGCUAUUUCUGACUCCAGAAACCAUAUUUUUUCCAAGACCCAGCAUAACUGAGGAGGAAACUUGGCAACAAGUGUGUGCUCAGUUAGGCAACUGUUCAAAUAAUUAAGCAAAUGCUUCAAAAAGUGACAGCUAAUUUGGUAUUUUGAUAUCAGAUAAUCCUAAGGAGAGACCAAAGGCAGACCAGGAGAAAGGAGCUUAAACAAAAAGUUUUAGGGUGAGGAGCUGUCCUGGGAACAUAAGAGUACAUCAGCUUCGCUGGAGAUUAGGGUGUGGAAGGAAUGUAUUGGGAGAUAAGGUCGGCAAAGGCCAGAAUGUGGUUAAGGAAUUUGGGCUUUAUCAUGAGAAAGUGGGGAGUAUUAACCCAUAGAAUAAUGUGGUCAGAACACAUUUUUAGGAAGAUCAUUUGGGAAGCCAGGGUCAGGGAUACCGGAUGGAUUUGUUGUAGUAGGACCAGUCAAGGGUUCCCUCCAAAGCAAUGUAGUAUCUCUGAAACCCUGAAAGGGUGAGGUUAAACCCUGCCUUGAUCGAAAUGUUCAGAAAACAGCCACUAGUUGGCAGGAGUGUGCCAAUGAAUGAAUGAGCCAAACUCCCAACUAGCACAGCUUCCCUUCUCUCACUCCUUGAGCUGUAGUGGGAUAUGAUCAGCUGGUGGAUAACAGGAGUAGGUGGGAGGGCAAUCUCUUCGGAGGAAACUUCAAAGGCCCAGAGGAGAAGGAGAAUGUGAUCAGGGAACAGAGUGGAUGGAUGGCUGGAGGAUAGGGUUGGAGUCGAGUGGGGCCAGCCGUGAGGGAGAGAGCUUGAUCAUGAAUGACUUGAAUUUUCAGGUUAAGAAACACAGACAUUAUCCUGAGAGAAAUGAGGAACCCACGAAGGUUUUUAAGUAGGAGAGAGACAUAACUAGAUUUGAAUUUUAGGAAGAUCAUCGAUUGCAGUGUGGAGAAUGAGGAGGAAGGAGGAAGCAGAGCCAGUGAGAAGGCAGUUGCAGUGAUCCUGGGAGAGGUGACGAGUGGCCAGCACUAGGGGCAGCAAUUGCAACGGACAGACGGGCCAGAAUUGUAGGAGACUUAUGAAAUAAAAAUCACAGAAUGAAAAAGGGGCCACUAAAAAUGUAGUUGACAGAAGAGAAUGAAUAUCCUUUCCCUAUUAUUAAAUGCAUCCUGAAUUGUCAGAUCGUCUACCUAAAAUUGCACUGGAAGAACUCAGAUUUCAGAACUUCUUGGCUUCUAAAUUCUACUUCAUUCAUUCAAUAAUCCUGACCAGAGUCUGUGGUGGAAAGUGGGGACCAAGGAACGGCUCAGUCCUGUACCUGCGGCAGCUGCCCCCACCCCGCCUGCGCGCCCAGUGUGGUGGAAAGAUAGUCAAUUCCGGUACAGCGUGGAGAGCGCUUUGAUGGAGGAAAUACAAGCCGAUGUAGUGUCCCCGGGAAAACCUGAUCCAGAAGGCUUCCAGGGAGAGGAGAUUUUGCGUCUAAGAUUUCAAAUGAAACAUCUCAUAACACUGUCAGUGAAACAACUAAGCACUGCUGGGAAAAGAUGGUGGCCUGCUGGGAAAAGAUGGUGGCCCGGAGAACAGUCCCGUUAUCUAUUUACCCCUUUUCGUCAGAAACCGUAGGCGUCACCUUAUGCGGGAUAGGAACCCGGGUGAGCUACGUCCCCAGGGAUGCCCACCGAUACACAAGUCACCGUCACCCCCUCCAGAGUAAACAGCAUCGCCUGAAAAGCAGGCGUCCGGGUCGUCCUCAAGGGCCAGCGCCUGGAACCGCCAGGGUGUGAUUGGUGGAGUCUUGGAGCCCGCCCCUCGUCGGGCCCAAAAAAUCGUCUCUGAUUGGUGGAGACGCCACCGGGCCCCGCCCCUCCCCAAUCUUGUCCGGGCGCCGCCGGCGGCCGGGCUUUGGGGACCGUUGUGAGGUCUGGGGAGGAUGCGCCAUCGACCCCGGCAGUAGGCGGCCGAACCUUGGUCCCAAAUCUUCUACCCCGGGGUGGAUUGCGGCCCCUAGAGGAAAGGCGUCAGCGGAGCGACCAGCAGCUGUGCCGCCACGGCACUCUGGGACACGCUGAGGGCGGGCCGGGCUCCCUGCGCCUGCGCUGACAUUUUGCAGUUUGGGAAAUGGCGGUGCUCGGGGACGUGGCGGGAGGGAGCUGCGAGUGAAUUGUCGGGCCUUUUCAGACCGGGGUCUGGAUCCCCGGGCCGGGGCGGUUCCGGGUUGCUGCCUGGCUCUGCCACCGGCGCGGGGCUCCCACCCAUCCCCACCCCACCCCGUCUGUUUCCUUUCCGGUCCAGUGGGGACAGCCUCUGAGUGAGGAGCGUCGUAGGAGUAAGAUACCCGAGUGGCAACCCUGACAGCCUAGGCCCCAGCCUCUCCUUCUCGCCCUGUCCCCCACCCUCUCCUGCACGGGGACCCGGAUAACUCCUUUCCACAGAAGUCUUUUGGGAGCACGUGAUAAGGCUUCUUUUCACCUGGCCUCAGCCCUUCAUCAGUUAACCGCCCUGUCCUCAGGCUCAGGCAGGGCACAUCCUUCUCAAUCUGCUCUCCUUUGUGAGAUGCAGAUGAUGUUCUCAUAGAUUUUUUAUACCUAAUGGUAAUGCAUAUAGGUAUUUCCAUUUGCUAAGUACCAGUUUUCCUUUGUCAGCUGACCCUCUAGAGACAAAUAUCCUUGGUGUUUUAUUUCCUGAAGUAUCUUCUGAGUGCCUGCUGUGCAUCAAGCACUGUACUGAAUAGUGCUGAGGACCCACAGGAACCAAAUCGGCAUCUUCUCAUGAAACUCAGACUAGUGGCAGAAAACUGGACUUGUGAUGAAGGAACAGAUGAAGUGCUCUGGAAUUCAGGGGUGAAGGAGGAAGAUGAGCUGUCUUUAGAGAGGAAACAGUAGCAUAUAGAGGAACCAGAGGGGGCAAUUCCAAAUGAAAUGAACACCAGGCAGCUUGACAGCUCACUGGGCCCAUACAAAGAACGUGGUUCAUUUUGUGUGUAGGGGGGAGGGGUGCGGGAGGUGGGUGGAGUUAAUGGAGUAGGGGUUGUAUAGUACCAUUGUUAAAAGCAGGGGUUUUAGCUUAUUCACUGUACGACUUCAGGCACAUAACCUCUUUGAGCCUGUCAAGUAAAGGUACAGUAUUUACUUCACAUUCAAAAUAAUGCAUUUCAAGCCUGAGCAUCACGGUUGGCACAAAACUGCUGUCUUUUUGAACACCAACUAUCAAAUAUGUGAUAGAAAUGCCUUGAAUGUCAAGAUAAAGAAUGUAUAUAUUCUCUGGGUCACAGGGAUCAAACAGAUUUUUGAGCAAUAGAGGACACUGAUGAGAGGUACGUGUAAGGGACUGGAUCCUGAGUCAAAGUCUAAGCCGCUGAAGUGGUUGCAACCCCACUUACUUUUGUCUCACUCCCAUCCAAACCUCCCUACCCUCAAUCCACAAGCAUUUCAAAACCAUGUUUCUAAAAACCAGCCAUUUAUAUCUGUUUAGGUAAGUAACAGGAGUGAGGUGGUGUAUUUACAAGUUGGCUUGUCCAGAUAUACUAUAACUUAGUGUCUGUAUUUAAUAUUGACAACCAAAAAAUAUAUAUAAAUAUCUUGCAUCUAUACACAACAGGGCAGGAGUCUCCGUGUCUUCUUGAGCAGUGAGUUUGCAGGCUCCCACAGGCCCUCUUCUCAUGGUGACAGUGUGGCCCUCAGUGCAAAGGAGACUAGAACCCGGCAGCCCAGACUGGCCCUUCCCCUCUCCUCCCUGCACUCCAGUGCUCCCAACUGGUCUCA